UGGCUGAGUGGUAAAGCGCUUGGCUUUCAAACUGGGGGUCCCAGGUUCAAAUCCUGG
rnacentral:tRNA from 1 species